rnacentral:lncRNA from 1 species
AUUGUAUAUGUUUCAUUUCUUUCACUUAUUAACGGCAAAACAGACAUAAUUAACGCUGAAAUAUUUGUUUUCUCCUACUUCUUUCGAUUCUUUUACGCCGAUUAACAAAAAUAGAUAGAAGUAUUUAAAAAAUCGCAAAAAAGAGGUGUAACACAAGGACUUCCCAGGAGGUCACCCAUCCUAGUACUACUCUCGCCCAAGCACACUUAAUUGCGGAGUUCUGAUGGGAUCUGGUGCAUUAGUGCUGGUAUGAUCGCACCUGAUAUCGAAUGCGCUUUAAUUGUAUAUAUUUUAUUUCUUUCACUUAUUAACGGCAAAACACACAAAGCGGUGCAACACAAGGACUUCCCAGGAGGUCACCCAUCCUAGUACUACUCUGGCCCAAGCACGCUUAACUGCGGAGUUCUGAUGGGAUCCGGGGCAUUAGUGCUGGUAUGAUCGCACCUGAUAUCGAAUGCGCUUUAAUUGUAUAUAUUUUAUUUCUUUCACUUAUUAACGGCAAAACAGAAAGAUGUGUUUCAUCGUCAAAAAAGGGAGAGUUUGGAUCUAUAUACUUGUAGGUAUAUAGCUUGAAAAUCCUGUAGAAGACCAUUAUGAUGUUUGGAUGACGACAACGAUAAUUAAAGUGGUGCGUAAUAACUUCACCUUGAUGAUGUUUGAUCUAACCAGAGAAACAUUCCAUGCCUCAUCAACAAAAAGAGACUCAGAUCAAAAGUGUUAUAUGGUAAGAGUAAUCCACAAGAAUCUUGAUGUCUGAGUGUGAAAUCUCUCUGGUUAGUGUAUGUCUGUAUGUCUCGAGUGACCGAGUUUUGUCAAGUAAGCAAUAACUCUUUAGUACUAGAAAUUCAGACCGUACCUUAACAAAUAUUUUUCAAAGUUUUUAUCUUGAAAUAUUUUCAGCAAAACAAAGUGAUGUAAGAAGCGGUCGCAAUCUCUUUCCACAACUAUUUUUUUGACUACAAAUCGAUUGGAUACUUAAGCCAUCUGUUGGCAAAACAUUUUCGUAAGUCGUCAGUUAAUGAAUUGAAUUAAGCAUCGAUUGGAGACGGUCAGCGAAUUGAACUCCAAACGAUCUACACCUAUGCGUAAAUCUACUUUUGGUUGGGAUACGCCUGUAAAAUACUCAGAUCAGUUUGUUCUAAUGGUUAAGGGCAUUAACCUGUCAAAUUGAUCAAAAGUUUAUAGUCCAAAGUCUUAAAGACCUAUGGGACAUACUAAACCAACAUUUGGCCAAAACUUGAAUAACUCUCGAGUGUCAUCUCUCUAAACUAUACUCUAUUUAUUUAUUUUCUAUUUCAUACAUUUGUUUCCGUUGCCAUUACUCUUAAAAGUAUCUUAACCGAUUUUAAUCGAGAAUAGAGUAUAAAAAAUAUCAUAAUUUUACAUACCACAGAUUCCAUUCCCUAUUAUUAUUCGAAAGAUCAAUUGUUGAUGCUUAUUAUUUUACAACUAUAUCAACAUACAUCACAAGGAUAAAAAAUCUAUAAAGUGUUACGAAUAAUCUAUAAAGUGAAUUAACACCAUCCUUGUAACCUUGUCGUUCAUCACACAAUCUUUUUUAUCAUGUUCUGUGGUUUACUAAAAAAUCAAGUAUAAGUGUAAGACUAUAAGUAUUUCAGUACUCUAAGCGAAUUAUAAGUAACGGCUCGAAUCUUAAAAAUAAAAAAUAUUUAUAUGCAUUUCACUGUCGUUGAGAAUAAAUAAUAUAUAAGCUGAUGAAAAACUUUAAUAUAUCAAAUUCAAGCAAAGGUUAUAACAAAAUAUAAGCCAAACAUUUUCACUAAUAAGUAAACAUGAGAAAACAUAUAAUAUAUUAUAUUAUAAUAUAUCCAUAUACUUAUAUAAUAUACUAUAUAUUAUAUCUAUGAUAUAUAUAUACUUUAUAUAUAUAUCAUAUAUAUAUAUAUAUCCAUCAGGUUUGCUUCGUGAUAUAUCCUCAUGUUUGCUCGCUGUGUUUGGUUAGGCUUGUGUUUUUGUUAUGCGAGGAAAAACACCAGAAGAUUAGUUACUUUUGUCUGAAUUAUUGGAAGAGCACUCUAAAGAAACAACGAGUAAUAACAAAAAUGAAAGUCAAUACCAAGCAAAGAGAAUCAACAGAAGGAAUCUUCUAAUUCCUAUUUUUAACAAUCUCCUAAACAUAAUAAAGUCCAUGGGCUGAAAGGACGAUAACAACACAACUUAUCAACAACACACAUGAAUGACAAUUACAUUCUCAUCAACACAACAAUAACACUGCGUUUGUGGAAUUCUAGGUCACACACACCUACAGAGCGGCUAUCCCUACUUGUCAGUAUCUCUAAUCAUACCAGACAAAUAGAGAUGAAGAUUGGAUUUACUUCAAAUCAUCUAUACAUAUCCUUUUGCUGGACUUGACAACAACAUCCAUAUACUCAUCUACCAAGUUCUAUGAGUUUUCAAGUACAACUCAGAGAAUCUCAAGCAGAAGAAGAAGCUAUGCUUAGAGAUUAUUUCCUAUUCCCCAAUCGAAAAGCAAAUUGGGAUCUAGACCAACCGUUUAGGUUAUGACCAACUUGAACACACUGAGGAGUAUUUUUUUAACAGGUUCUUUCAACAUAAUAAAUUUAUGGAAGCCAAGACCAUUAUUUCCGUAUUUUCUCAAUGUGUGAAUGAAACACUUUGUGAGCAUGGGAGAGUUACAAGUUUAUGUUGCUAAAUUGUCCUAACCAUGGGUUUGAUGACCUCACUCAUAUUCUAUUUUUUCGCAAUGAACUUCAACCACAACAAAACUUUCUUUAGAUGCAACUGCCAAGCGAUUCUCUAAUGUUAAGGUGCAGAAGAUGCAAUAGCUAUCAUCAAACAAAUGGCACUUUGUGACCAUCGAGAGUCAGUAUACUAGAGGUCUCUAAAUAGAAAAGUUGGAACAUAUAAUUUGGGGCAAACAACACAAUCUUGGCUCAGCAAUAAAUUGCUUACUCAAAUAGUGGAAGAAAUAAUAAAGCAAUUGUCCAGAUUCCAUAUAACUCAAAAAUGCAUGAAUAUAUGAUUACAAUAAUAUGUUUAUUUUGUGAGCUUUCCAGUGGAGACCUACCCAUAGGUUUUUAUCCCCCGUCGAAUGAAGAGUGAAUUACUUGGGAAAUCAGCAAAGACAAGGGAAUACCAAGGCAAAACUGGUUUUUAAAGACAAAAUUGUUGAAUUAUGGUCAGGGGAGGCAUGCAAGUCGCAGAACCAUCCAAUAGAUAAAACUUGUAUCAUAAUUAAAACUAGAAUUCCUCAACGAGACUGAACUUCAAUGGUGGAGGACACUCUGAAUCAGUUUAUGCAAUUGUCUAUCGCGAAGUCAAAGAACACUGAUGCAUCCAUUAAGAAUCUUAAAACUCAAGUUAGUCAACUAGAUAAUAAAUUGGUGGAUCAACAAGGAGGAUUUCACUGCUAAGCUCAGCCAAUCCGAAGGAACAUUGCAAAUCAAUUACAACUCGGAUUAUAGAAUGGUGACAAGGGCAUUUGAUAAUCUAGAAACUAAAGAGUUGUUGUUAAGAUGAAGAAGAACAAGAGGGAGAAAAGAGAGAGAGUGUGAAGGAAGUAAAGGAAAAUAUAAGGAAUAAUUAGUUGAAAAUGAAAUAAUAAUGAAAAGACAGAGUGAGAAAAAAGUGAACGAGGCGAAAAACAAAAAAUCAAAGAGCUAGAGAAGUGAAAGAAAAUAUGAAGAAUCUGCCAGUGCAACAUUAUUUUUGCAUGCUCCUACCAGAAAGACAGUGAGAGACAAUAUGCUAGGUUUUCUGGAUAUACUUCAAGAAUUACCGAUAAAUACUCCAUUGUUGAAGCCCUCGAACAGAUGCCGACAUAAUGCCAAAUUCAUGAAAGAGAUCUCACAAAGACACACACUGAUAUCUAAUGCGCUUAAAUUGGUAUAUGUUUCAUUUCUUUCACUUAUUAACGCAAAACAGACAUAAAUUAACGCUGAAAUUUGUUUCUCCUACUUCUUUCGAUUCUUUACGCCGAUUAACAAAAAUGCAUAGAAGUAUUUAAAAAAUCGCAAAAAAGAGGUGUAACACAAGGAUUCCCAGGAGUCACCCAUCCAGUACUACUUCUCGCCAAGCAACUUAAUUGCGGAGUUCUGAUGGAUCUGGUGCAUUAGUGCUGGUAUGAUCGCACCUGAUAUCGAUGCGUUUAAUUGUAUAUAUUUUAUUUCUUUCACUUAUUACGGCAAAACACACAAAGCGGUGCAACACAAGGACUUCCCAGGAGGUCACCCAUCCUAGUACUACUCUGGCCCAGCACGCUUAACUGCGGAUUCUGAUGGAUCCGGGCAUUAGUGCUGGUAUGAUCGCACCUGAUAUCGAAUGCGCUUUAAUUGUAUAUAUAUUUCUUCUCUCUUAUUAACAAGGCAAAACAGACAUAAAUUAACCUGAAAUUGUUUUCUCCUACUCUUUCGAUUCUUUUACGCCGAUUACAAAAAUAAAUAGAAGUAUUAAAAAUCGCAAAAAAGAAGGUGCAACACAAGGACUUCCCAAAGGUCCCACCUAGUACUACUCUCGCCCAAGCCACGCUUAACUGCGUAGUUCUGAUGGGAUCCGGUGCAUUAGUGCUGGUGAUCGCACCUUAUCGAUAUGCAGCUUGAAGUGUAUAUAUUUAUUUCUUUCACUUAUUAACGGCAAAACAACAUAAUUAACGCCUGAAUAUUUGUUUUCUCUAUUCUUUCGUAUCUUUUACUGCCGAUUCAUUAACAAAAUAAAAGAAGUUUUAAAAACUCGCAAAAAGAAGUGCAACACAAGGAUCCCAGAGGUCACCAUCCUAGUACUACUCUCGCCCAAGCACGCUUAACUGCGGAGUUUGAAGGAUCCGGUGCAUUAGUGCUGGUAUGACCACCUUCGAAUUCGUCUGGCUUUGAUUGUAAAAUUUGUUAUCUUGCUUUUCACUGAUUAACGGCAAAACAACAUAUUAACGCUGAAAUAUUUAUUUUCUCCUACUUCUUGUCAUCUUUUACGCGAUUACAAAAAUAGUAUAGAGAUUUAAAAAGCGCAAAAAGGGUGCCAACACAGAGGACUUCAGGGCACCCAUCUAGUACUACUCUCGCCAAGACACUUAACGACGGAUUGUCUCUGGAUCCGGUGCUUAGUCGUGGUUGAUCGCACCUGAAUAUUAAAUGCGCUUUAUUGUUAUAUUUUAUUUCUUUCACUUAUUUAACCGGCAAAACACAAUUACGCUUGAAAAUAUUUGUUUUCUCCUCUUCUUUCGAUUCUUUUACGCCGUAUUAAAACAAAAUAAUACAAGUAUUAAAAAAUCGCAAAAAAGAGGUGCAACAGGACUUCCAGCGAGGUCACACCUAGUACUACUGCGCCCAAGGAGCUUACUGCCGGAGUUCUGAUGGAAUCCAGGCAUUAGGUGCUGGUAUGAUUCACACUGUAUCGAAUGCGUUUAAUAUUAUAUUUUAUUUCUUUUCACUUAUUAACGCAAAAGACAAAUUAACGCUUGAAUAGUUAUUUUCACUAACUUCUUUCGAUUCUUUUACGCCGAUUAACAAAAAGAAUAAAGAUCUUAAAAUACGCCAAAAAAGAGCGUGCAACACAAAACUUCCAGAAGGUCCACCCAUCCUAGUCACUCUCGCCAAGCACGCUUAACGCGGAGUUUGAUGGGUGCGCGGUGCAAUUAGUGCUGGUGAGAUCGCACCUGUAUGCAGAUGCGCUUUAAACAAUUGUAUAUUAUCUUAUUUCUUUUCACUAUUAACGGCAAACAGACAAUUAACGUGAAAUAUUUGUUUCUCUCCUACUUCUUUCGAUUCUUUUACGCCGAUAACAAAAAUAAAUNUUCACUUAUUAACGGCAGAACAAACAGACAUAAUUUAACGCUGAAAAUUUGUUUUCUCCUACUUCUUUCGAUUCUUUACGCCGAUUAACAAAAAUAAGAUAGAAGUAUUAAAAAUCGCAAAAAAGAGGUAACACAAGGACUUCCCAGGAGGUCACCCCAUCCUAGUACUAAGAAGUAUUUAAAAAAUCGCAAAAAAGAGGUGCAACACAAGGACUUCCCAGUAGGUCACCCAUCCUAGUACUACUCUCGCCAAAGCACGCUUAACUGCGGAGUUCUGAAAGGAUCCGGUGCAUUAGUGCUGGUAUGAUCACACCUGAUAUCGAAUGCGCUUUAAUUGUAUAUAUUUUAUUUCUUUCACUUAUUAACGGCAAAACAAACAUAAUUAACGCUGAAAUAUUUAUUUUCUCCUACUUCUUUCGAUUCUUUUACGCCGAUUAACAAAAAUAGAUAGAAGUAUUUAAAAAAUCGCAAAAAAGAGGUGCAACACAAGGACUUCCCAGGAGGUCACCCAUCCUAGUACUACUCUCGCCCAAGCACACUUAACUACGGAGUUCUAAUGGGAUCCGGUGCAUUAGUGCUGGUAUGAUCGCACCUGAUAUUAAAUGCGCUUUAAUUGUAUAUAUUUUAUUUCUUUCACUUAUUAACGGCAAAACAAACAUAAUUAACGCUGAAAUAUUUGUUUUCUCCUACUUCUUUCGAUUCUUUUACGCCGAUUAACAAAAAUAGAUACAAGUAUUUAAAAAAUCCCAAAAAAAGAGGUGCAACACAAGGACUUCCCAGGAGGUCACCCAUCCUAGUACUACUCUCGCCCAAGCACGCUUAACUGCGGAGUUCUGAUGGGAUCCGGUGCAUUAGUGCUGGUAUGAUCGCACCUGAUAUCGAAUGCGCUUUAAUUGUAUAUAUUUUAUUUCUUUCACUUAUUAACGGCAAAACAGACAUAAUUAACGCUGAAAUAUUUGUUUUCUCCUACUUCUUUCCAUUCUUUUACGCCGAUUAACAAAAAUAGAUACAAGUAUUUAAAAAAUCCCAAAAAAAGAGGUGCAACACAAGGACUUCCCAGGAGGUCACCCAUCCUAGUACUACUCUCGCCCAAGCACGCUUAACUGCGGAGUUCUGAUGGGAUCCGGUGCAUUAGUGCUGGUAUGAUCGCACCUGAUAUCGAAUGCGCUUUAAUUGUAUAUAUUUUAUUUCUUUCACUUAUUAACGGCAAAACAGACAUAAUUAACGCUGAAAUAUUUGUUUUCUCCUACUUCUUUCCAUUCUUUUACGCCGAUUAACAAAAAUAGAUACAAGUAUUUAAAAAAUCCCAAAAAAAGAGGUGCAACACAAGGACUUCCCAGGAGGUCACCCAUCCUAGUACUACUCUCGCCCAAGCACGCUUAACUGCGGAGUUCUGAUGGGAUCCGGUGCAUUAGUGCUGGUAUGAUCGCACCUGAUAUCGAAUGCGCUUUAAUUGUAUAUAUUUUAUUUCUUUCACUUAUUAACGGCAAAACAGACAUAAUUAACGCUGAAAUAUUUGUUUUCUCCUACUUCUUUCCAUUCUUUUACGCCGAUUAACAAAAAUAGAUACAAGUAUUUAAAAAAUCCCAAAAAAAGAGGUGCAACACAAGGACUUCCCAGGAGGUCACCCAUCCUAGUACUACUCUCGCCCAAGCACGCUUAACUGCGGAGUUCUGAUGGGAUCCGGUGCAUUAGUGCUGGUAUGAUCGCACCUGAUAUCGAAUGCGCUUUAAUUGUAUAUAUUUUAUUUCUUUCACUUAUUAACGGCAAAACAGACAUAAUUAACGCUGAAAUAUUUGUUUUCUCCUACUUCUUUCCAUUCUUUUACGCCGAUUAACAAAAAUAGAUACAAGUAUUUAAAAAAUCCCAAAAAAAGAGGUGCAACACAAGGACUUCCCAGGAGGUCACCCAUCCUAGUACUACUCUCGCCCAAGCACGCUUAACUGCGGAGUUCUGAUGGGAUCCGGUGCAUUAGUGCUGGUAUGAUCACACCUGAUAUCGAAUGCGCUUUAAUAGUAUAUAUUUUAUUUCUUUCACUUAUUAACGGCAAAACAGACAUAAUUAACGCUGAAAUAUUUAUUUUCUACUACUUCUUUCGAUUCUUUUACGCCGAUUAACAAAAAUAGAUACAAGUAUUUAAAAAAAUCGCAAAAAAGAGGUACAACACAAGGACUUCCCAGGAGGUCACCCAUCCUAGUACUACUCUCGCCCAAGCACGCUUAACUGCGGAGUUUUGAUGGGAUCCGGUGCAUAAGUGCUGGUAUGAUCGCACCUGAUAUCGAAUGCGCUUUAAUUGUAUAUAUUUUAUUUCUUUCACUUAUUAACGGCAAAACAGACAUAACUAACGCUGAAAUAUUUAUUUUCUCUUACUUCUUUCGAUUCUUUUACGCCGAUUAACAAAAAUAGAUACAAGUAUUUAAAAAAUCGCAAAAAAGAGGUGCAACACAAGGACUUCCCAGGAGGUCACCCAUCCUAGUACUACUCUCGCCCA